rnacentral:rRNA from 1 species
UACGUAGGGUCCGAGCGUUGUCCGGAAUUAUUGGGCGUAAAGGGCGCGUAGGCGGCGCGAUAAGUCAAAGGUGAAAUCCCUCGGCUCAACUGAGGAACUGCCUUUGAGACUGUCGAGCUUGAAUCCGGGAGAGGGAUGCGGAAUUCCAGGUGUAGCGGUGAAAUGCGUAGAUAUCUGGAGGAACACCGGUGGCGAAGGCGGCAUCCUGGACCGGCAUUGACGCUGAGGCGCGAAAGCUAGGGGAGCAAACGGG